CUCCGCUGCCCGGCGCCCACACCGUUCUGGAGGAGCAGAGCCCACGCCCCGCCCGGAGCUGCUCUCCGGAGGCCCCGAGCUUCCUGGUGUGAGGGUUAGGGGGGCGCUGCUGGUAACUGCCACACAUGCCUAGGACCUGCCCCUGGGGCGUGGCUGAGGGGGAGCCCUUUAAGACUUGAGGUGUGUAUGUGUUUGCCCCUUCUGGAUACCUCUGGUCUUGGAAGCUGGAUGGAAGAUGAAGCCAGAGUUCUCUGCUGGAUGGUACCUCAUCACUCCCGUAUCCUGUAACCAACCCCUAUUGGCUAUGCAGAGAUGAAAGGCAAAGUGGAUGAAGCUGCCAUAAAAUACUAAGCUGUAUUUUACAACAACUGCACAGUGACUACCAAUGGAUUUCUGCUAGAAGCUGCCGUGGCCAAGCCUUUUCUUUUCGCCUUUAUAUCUAGGAAGGGCAGAGGGAAAGAGCUGGAAACAACUUAAGACACCAUGGAGGUCUUCAUCUAUCUUUAAAGAAAGCUAAAUUUAACUCUCACUUAAAAAGAGAGUGAGUUUAUCUUUUGCAUUGAGGACCACAACAGCAAAAGUCAAAAUUCCAUUAUAAAUAUCUUUAAUUUAUCUUGAUAUCUACUGAUCAGUUAAGCUAGAUACAUACAAGGGAUGUAAGCCAAGGUCCUUGCCCUUACCAUUGCAUAACAGAUCUAAAGCAUACUUGAUUAAGAGCAACAUAUGUUACAUCCUUUAUGUGUUAGACAGCCUCAUCAUACUGCUGUGAAAUAAGUAUUAUUCUUAUACCUAUUUUAUAGAAGACAAAAUUGAUUUUCCCAAAGAUAUAUAUCCAAGGGUGCAACAUAGGACUUAUAUCAAAGAAAUUCUAAAGCCUUAUAUCAAAGUAAUUCUAAAGCCCAGGCUCAUUUAUUAAUACCACAUCACCACUUAAUUGUUUCUAUCACUUUCUGAUUUUACAAAGGAUCUUUGGGCAGUGAUUUGAUCUGAAAAGACACAUAAGCCAUUAACAAGCUUAAGGUGUAUCUAAUUCUCUCAUCAUUAUUUCUGCAAGGAUACAGAUUCAUGAUUGUUAAAACAUAUGAAAAAAAUGAAUAAACAUACUACUCAUACUAGACUAUCCCCUAAACCCAUGGUAGGCAUUGCUAGCCAACAUUAGCUCACUUGAAAUUUAGCACUGAAUUAUUUAUUCACAAAGAUCUGAUUAUCAAAACUUCAGUUAACACAUAGAAUUAAGACUGCUUUGCUGUGGGAUAAUGCUCUUGUAAACUGACUUAAUAAACACUGAUUGGCCAGUAGCCAGGCAGGAAGUAUAGGUGGGGCGAGCAACUAGGAGAAUUCUGGGAAGAGGAAGGCUAAGUCAGGAGUCGCCAGCCAGACACAGAGGAGGCAAAAUGACAAAGCAGAACUGAGAAAAGGUACUAAGCCACAUGGCUAAACAUAAAUAAGAAUUAUGGGUUAAAUUAAGUGUAAGACCUAGUCAGUAAUAAGCCUGAGCUAAUGGCUGAGCUGUUAUAAUUAAUACAAGCCUCUGUGUGUUUACUUGGGGGAAGCAGAUGGGAGAGAAUUGUCCCAACUGCCAGCCAGCUGGGACACAGGACAACUUCCAACUACACUGUUUGAUAUUGUAUCAUCUACCCUAAGCGUCAUUUCUCCAUCCUCACAGAUGUACUUUAUACAGUAUGCAAACUUAGUAAAGCAUUUUGUAUCAUAUAAAUAUCUUUAUAUAGCAUCUAUAUUCAUUCUCAAACAAUCAAAUUAUUUACUUGAGUGUAGAAGAAAAUUGUAACAGUUUCUUGAAAGUCUUAAUAGGAAGUCUUAAUGAAAUUUCUGGCUCCAUAGGUAUAAACAAUGUUCUCCAACAUUUGUCUUAAUGUAAAUAAAGCCAAGCAAGGUAGAGAAAAGUCAAGCCCCACCACAAUGAGUCACAACAGGCAGCUUUUAGAGUUGGGCCCCAUCACAGCGAGCCAUGAGUGGCAGCUUCUAGAGUGGCAGUAUUGAGUAGUCACCACUGUACUUAGGUGAUUUCAUAAGUAGAUACAAGUAACUACUUACAGAACAGGUGUUGCUUAAUUGAAAAACAAUUAGGUAUAAAAAUAUCACUUUAAGUGAAAUUAUUCUGAUUUAGAGACUCUCAUUGAUCAGGAUGACAGGAUGUACAAGCCUUUGGGGGACUCCAUUUCUGUGCCUUAACAUUUUUAAGGUAUACACAAAGAGAAUUCUCAGAUAAUACAUUUACUUUAAAAGCAAGAGAAAAAGAUUUCUCCAGAUUUUUUGAAAUAUUAUUUUAAAAACAUAAACAAAGGGGAAAAUACAGAGACCUACUUCAUAUCAGGAACACAAGGAGACAAUCUUAAAGUUUGCAGCUGCUUAAACAUGGGUUCAUAAAUUCUGAAUAUAUAUAUACAUAUAUAUGUAAAUAUGUAUAUGUAUAUAUAUAAAUAUGUAUAUAUAUUUACACUUAAAAGAGUCUCAAGGAUACUCCUCAAAUUCUUAAACCUUAUGUCAUUAAACAAUAGAAUUAUCCCUACUCUCAGACACCAUAUCUAAAGCUCAACUUCCACUGGCCUUUUGUAGCCACAUGUCACUGGUAUCUCCCCAUAUCACAGAGCUAACAGGAGCAGAGCAAUUAUUCUGGCCACCCUCAUCCUCUUAGGUUUAGAGUCUCAUCUUUUAUCCAGAUCAGACUAUAUCCAUUGUCCUCUUUCCGCCUCAUCUUACACCUUUGCGCUCGUUGGACUUGUCCAAUUUAUGCAGCCACUGAGCACAUGCAAGGUGACCAGUAUGCAUCAGGAAUCUCUAAGUAUAAGAUAUAUAUUGCAUAUCAAAUACUUCCUAUGAAAACAGGAACUUAGGGACUCUGUAUUGUUUUCCAUGUUGAAACAUAACAUUUUGUAUAUGACAAAUACAUACCAAAAUCCAUUGCUAAAGUUAUUUUCAUUCUUUUUUUUUAAAAUAUGAAAAUGAAAAUGUUUAAAACUUCAGAAACAGUCCAUGUUAUAGUUCUUUGGACACAAUUUCUCUAGUAAACUUUCAGUCACAUUUGUUGAUGAACUUUUGCUUCAAAAUAAUACUCAUACUAUUACUUAUCUUAUGGUGUAUACAUAAACAAGUGACUAAAUUAUCAGACCUUCUCCAUGCUAAGAAGAACUUAGAAAGUCAAAACUCUAGCUGUCCUGAUAGAAGCAAAGGGAGAAAAAUAUAUAUCUUCUUUUGUCUUGUAUAACAGUGACUGAAAAAAAAAAUACAUAGUAAAUUCCUCAGUUAGAAAUAUCUUGGCAGUAUCAGCAUUAUGGUGCCAUUGAAAGAUGAACCCAAAGUAAGAAAAAAUUACUGUUUCCUCCUGUUACAAUAAAUUACUUGUACCAGCUUUGUGAGUUACUCUGGCUUUCAGUUUCCAUAUCUUGGACAUAGACAAACAAUUGUGCUACUUCUUAUUUAUGUUCUCUGUAUUGCGCUGGGGCCAUCACCUUCUUUUUAAUGUCUUUGGAUGGGGAAAUUAUCAGUCCAUUGUGGGGAAAACCAGACUCUCCAAAAGUUCCAGUGUUCUGUCUUUGCAGAAAGUUUAAUGUUCUUUCAAUCUCCUCAUAGAGCAUGGCUUUGUUUUAUACCUGACUUCCUUUGUAUUAUUCCAAUCAAGUGAUUUGCACAUUUCAGAUUCUACCUGUGAAUUUCAGUGGCCUCUUGGAUUUCAAAAACUGGUCUACCAGAAGGUGCCAGGAGAGAUUCUAAAGGAGGGAGGCAGCCUAAGUCCCACCCAGCUAUGAUACCUAUGAACCACAUCAAUAACCAGCAUAGCAUAGUAACUCUGAGAGUGCAGUCAUGUCAUGCAUACUUUGGUGGUAACAAACAGCUCUCUAAUUGGACUUCAUACUUGAAGACAAGAGUGAAACUAAACUGUGUCUGGUACUGGAAACCCAGAACUAUUCAGUACUAGUAAAGUCAUGGUUAUUGGACUAAUAUAAUAAACCAGCAUAACCUCUAAAGACAAUCUAUAUCUGUCUUUACACCCACAGAUAAGUGUCAUGUUCACUCCUCAUCACAGAGAAUUCUCUUUAUAACAGACAGAAAUUACUACAGAAAAAUGCAACCAAUAAAAAAUGCAGAGUGGUGGAGCCCAGUACCAACAGAUAUAUCUACAAAACACUCACACACAUAAAGCUCAGAAAACAUUGCAGAAGAUGGGGUGGAAAAUUGUAAGAUCUGAGAGUUUACUAUAAGAGUGUGUCUUCUAGUAAUAUCAAAAGUUAAACCCGUAAGUCUCACCAGCAUAACUGCCUAAAUGUGAGCCAAACAAGGAUACCAAUGGACACAUCAAAGUUCAUGGAAGAAAACACAAGAGUCCUCAACCCUACACAAAGAACUAUAGGCAAUUGAGAACAGCUAGAAGCAGGAGAGGUGGUCUUCCCCAGGGAAGAGCAUACCAAUUAGAUGUCCAGUGGCAAACAAUCAAGUCUGAAAACAUAACACAAGUAAUAGUAUAUGGAUUGAGCAAGUAUGUCUAGGAAUGGAUGUGUAUACAUUUAUGCAUGUAUACAUGUAAUAACAAUUAGUGAAAAGGGGGACCAUUAAUUUGAAGGAGAGUGGGAAGGAGUAAACUAGAGUGUUCGGAGGGAGGAAGGAGAAGGGAGAAAUGUUGUAAUCAUAUUACAAUCUCAAAAAAAAAUUAAAGAAAUGAUCCAACUUUUGUUACUUAGGUGAUGAAAAAAGUUUUGAUCUAGUGCCCAAGUUAAAUAAUAUGGAAGUGAUUUUUACUUGAAGGCAGAUGUUUUUCUUUAGAACUAAGUUUGAUGAUAAUUUUAACUGCCAUGAAUAUAAAAUCAAUACUCAUUUUAGAAGAACAAAUAGAAUUGGUUUUUCAUUAAAUUUGAAUGGCUUGUAAAGGUCUGAUAAGAACUCUUGUGUGCAGUCUUUCAACUAUGUCUGCACACUAGAGCAAUGUGGUAUCCUGUAUAUAUUUCACAAACUGUAGAUUUUAAUUUUGUUAUAGUGCCUAAUUUUCCUGAAAUAUUACAUUCCUAAGCAUAUAUCUCACAUGGAAAAUUAUAAUAAAGUUGUCAUGACUCAGCUACUAGUCAACAAAGAUACUAUCAGAACAUAUUCUUGUAUGGAGCAUUACAAAAGAUGUAUGAUUUCCAUUAAACUAAACCACUUUCUUCUAAGCAUUUAAACUGGAGCUCUCCAUUAGUUCAUCUAUGUUUUAUUAAUCAAGUCUAAUGUAGGCAUUGUUAUAAUGAUGUUUGAUUUUUUUUUUAGAUAUUGACUUAUUCCCUUUAAAAUAUUAAGGUAUGAUGCUAUUAAUAUUUUAUAUUAGGAGAUUUGAUAGGAAUAGUCAUUACUCCAGUAGGCAGUAAUAGAAUUUGGGGGUUGCUAGUCCAUCAAAAAAGAUGUAUUAGAGAAUAGGGGAGACCAUAUAAAAUUAUUUUCUAGAUAUAUUUAAUAAUUAUGUUUGUGAACAAGAGGUCUACUCAAGAAAUCUUGAAAAAAUAGUCUAAAUUUCACUGCCAUUACUUUCAUAUCCCAUACUAUUAUCUUCUACUUUAGAAAGAUGAGGACAUACACUCUGCUAUGUUCAUACAAAAAACAACUGACUGAUAAGCAGUAUUCUAAUCUGUUAUAUUGACUGAAUUGUCUAGUUCUAUAUAAAACAAAUGAAUGCAAUAAAGAGAAUUUGAUGAAAGCAUCUAAAUACCUUCUGAAUACAUUUCUACAAAUAAUCACCAAUUCAGUCUUUCUUCUGUCCCUGAUCCAU